UCCUCAGGUGUAAGUCCUGACCGAUCUGC
rnacentral:piRNA from 1 species